UUUACUAGGCCAGGCCACCUCCAAAAAGUGACUGAGCUUCCCCUGACCUCAACAUCUGCCCACUCAGUGGCCCUGACUCUCUGCUAUGAAGACCUAACAAUGAGGCACCACUACCCACUGCCCAUUGGGUAGCCCAGGCAUCCUAACUAUUUCCAUGCCUUCUUAUCUACUAGGCCAGGCUUACCACCCCAAAGCCAGGCUUACCACCCCAACGUGAGUGAGCUGCUCCUGCCCCCAACAUCUGCCCACUGAACAGCCCUGACCCCCUGCUCUGAAGACAUAACAAUAAGCUGGCCUCGCCCCUGGUGACACUGAGGUUACCUUGCCCACUGCCCAUUGUGCCUAACCGUUUCCAUGCCUCCUUUUCUACUAGGCCAGGCUUACCACCCCAAAGCCAGGCUUACCACCCCAAAGUGAGUGAGCU